GUGGGGAAUAUUCCGCAAUGGACGAAAGUCUGACGGAGCAACGCCGCGUGAGUGAUGAAGGUUUUCGGACUGUAAAGCUCUGUUGUUUAGGACGAAAGUGCCUGUUGCAAAUAGUUACAGGUAUUGACGGUACUGAACGGGGAAGCCACGGCUAACUACGUGCCAGCAGCCGCGGUAAUACGUAGGUGGCAAGCGUUGUCCGGAAUUAUUGGGCGUAAAGAGCAUGUAGGCGGGAAUCUAAGUCUGUUGUGAAAAUGCGGGGCUCAACCCCGUAUUGCGAUGGAAACUGGGUUUCUUGAGUGCAGGAGAGGAAAGGGGAAUUCCCAGUGUAGCGGUGAAAUGCGUAGAUAUUGGGAGGAACACCAGUGGCGAAGGCGCCUUUCUGGACUGUGUCUGACGCUGAGAUGCGAAAGCCAGGGUAGCGAACGGGAUUAGAAACCCGAGUAGUCC
rnacentral:rRNA from 1 species